rnacentral:rRNA from 1 species
UACGUAGGGUGCGAGCGUUGUCCGGAAUUACUGGGCGUAAAGAGCUCGUAGGUGGUUUGUCGCGUUGUUCGUGAAAACUCACAGCUUAACUGUGGGCGUGCGGGCGAUACGGGCAGACUGGAGUACUGCAGGGGAGACUGGAAUUCCUGGUGUAGCGGUGGAAUGCGCAGAUAUCAGGAGGAACACCGGUGGCGAAGGCGGGUCUCUGGGCAGUAACUGACGCUGAGGAGCGAAAGCGUGGGUAGCAAACAGG